AUGUGAUCAUUAGGCUUGUAAUUUCUAUUUUAUUCCUUUUUAAAAAACUAAUUCAUUUUCAUUGUGUUUUACAAAAGGAUUAGUUCAAGAGGGUUGAGGACUACAAAAACAACAACAACGACGUUUCUUGGGUUGGAAGCAUGUGCCUCAGAGAGUUACAGCUAAUUCAGGCACGUGACUGUCAGGGCUGUUCCACUCCUGUCACGUCCCUCCCAUCUCCUUCUCUUCAGAAGCCCCAGAGACAGUCUCAGAGGUUCAAGGAGCCCAGUUUUAUUCUAUAUCCUCCUCCCUGAUAUAAAAAGAAGAUGUUUCUCCCUGUGGGCUUCAGCCUUUUGCUUUUCUACAAGGGCGUGCUGUGUAACCAAGUGACCCAGAGUUCCCCGGAGCAGAGGGUGGCGACUGGCAGUGAGGUGACACUGCUCUGCACUUUCCAAACCUUAUAUUCAAAUCCAUACUUGUACUGGUACCGAAGAAGACCAGAUGGUGUCUUCCAGUUUGUCCUGUAUCGGGACAACGCUAAAUCCCAUGAUGCAGAUUUUGCUCAGGGUAGAUUUUCCGUGCAGCAUAGUGUGAGCCGCAAAACCUUCCACUUGGUGAUCUCCUCCUUGAGGCCUGAAGACACUGCCACGUACUACUGUGCUUUAGAGCUCCCACAGUGAUGCAGGCGCCCAGGAAGUCUUCACACAAACCCCUGGGCACAGCCUCGCAGAGCUGCUUCUCUGGGCAGCUCAUGUCCUUGGACAUGGCAUCCUUCUUCCUCGUCAUUCUGUGGUCCAGUCUGGCCUUGGGAGGUGCCCUAACGCGUCUGCCUAAUACGAAAAAGCCUGGUUACUUGCAGGGGAGCACCCCGACUUCCAAUGGAAGAGAUGUCGCCCCACUUCACAGAGGGCCCUUGCUGCCCUGGUGCCCGUGGUGGGGAAGGGAGACUGCCUGUCUGAGGGACCCUGGUGCCCGGGUUGUGCCUGAUACAGAGAAGGGCUUGACAGGGAUGUGCUGUGUGCCCUGGGCGGAUAGCCAGAUGGGGUGGGUGGGGGACCAAUCUAAAGAGAGCCCAUUGGAAGUGUGUUUAUUUUAUCUCCAUCGUUUAGCCAUUGUUGGAAUUGGCCUGUUUCCCUUUUAAGAUUCAAAUUGGACACAAAGUUAUUUACUUUAAAAAAUGUCCCCAGUUUAACUUUCAUGAACAUCUUCUUGUGCAGUUACUUUAUUUCUCUGGGAUGUUCUUUGGUACCUCCUUUUUACUUUGUCUGGAGAAUAUUUUCCUUUCACCAAAGAGCUUUGAGAUAUUCCCAGAAAGCUGUCUGUGAAAACCAGAAUCCCAGCUUCAAAGUUCCUGAGUUUGGAGCCCAGUGGCAUCCCCAGGGGAGAGAAUUACCUCCAGGGUAAACCAAGAUGUGAUGUCAAAAAUAGAUACACCCUCAGCCCUGGGAUUGCACCCCUCCUUCCUCUACUACUGAUGUUUCUGCCUUAAGACAACUAUUAGAGUUAUUAAGUGUAAUCUUAGAAAUAGUAGAAGUCUUGGUGGUGGUUGUUGAGUUGCUAAGUCGUGUUGGACUCUUUUGUGACCCCAAGGACUGUGGCCCACCAGACUCC